rnacentral:piRNA from 1 species
UGCAGAUCUUUUAGUGGCCGCUAAGCCUGC